rnacentral:rRNA from 1 species
CGGACGGGUGAGUAAUGCUUGGGAAUCUAGCUUAUGGAGGGGGAUAACUACGGGAAACUGUAGCUAAUACCGCGUAGUAUCGGAAGAUGAAAGUGUGGGACCUUCGGGCCACAUGCCAUAGGAUGAGCCCAAGUGGGAUUAGGUAGUUGGUGAGGUAAAGGCUCACCAAGCCGACGAUCGGUAGCUGGUCUGAGAGGACGACCAGCCACACUGGGACUGAGACACGGCCCAG